rnacentral:rRNA from 1 species
CUCGUAGGCGGUCUGUUGCGUCAGGAGUGAAAACUCGGGGCUUAACCCCGAGCCUGCUUCUGAUACGGGCAGACUAGAGGUAUGCAGGGGAGAACGGAAUUCCUGGUGUAGCGGUGAAAUGCGCAGAUAUCAGGAGGAACACCGGUGGCGAAGGCGGUUCUCUGGGCAUUACCUGACGCUGAGGAGCGAAAGUGUGGGGGAGCGAACA